UAGGGAAUAUUGGGCAAUGGGCGAAAGCCUGACCCAGCCAUGCCGCGUGCAGGAUUGACGGCUCUAUGAGUUGUAAACUGCUUUUUUCUGGGACGAAAAAUCUCCAUUCUUGGAGAACUGACGGUACCAGAGGAAUAAGGACCGGCUAACUCCGUGCCAGCAGCCGCGGUAAUACGGAGGGUCCAAGCGUUAUCCGGAUUUACUGGGUUUAAAGGGUGCGUAGGUGGCUAGGUAAGUCAGAGGUGAAAUACAACAGCUCAACUGUUGAACUGCCUUUGAAACUAUUUAGCUUGAAUGCAGCUGAGGCCAGUGGAAUGUAACAUGUAGCGGUGAAAUGCUUAGAUAUGUUACAGAACACCAAUUGUGAAGGCAGCUGGCUAGACUGUGAUUGACACUGAGGCACGAAAGCGUGGGUAUCGAACAGG
rnacentral:rRNA from 1 species